rnacentral:rRNA from 1 species
GAUCCUGGCUCAGAUUGAACGCUGGCGGCAUGCCUUACACAUGCAAGUCGAACGGUAACAGGUCUUCGGACGCUGACGAGUGGCGAACGGGUGAGUAAUACAUCGGAACGUGCCCAGUCGUGGGGGAUAACUACUCGAAAGAGUAGCUAAUACCGCAUACGAUCUGAGGAUGGAAGCGGGGGACUUUCGGGCCUCGCGCGAUUGGAGCGGCCGAUGGCAGAUUAGGUAGUUGGUGGGAUAAAAG